CAGAUACACUCAGACGCUCUGCACUUUGAGCCGAGGGCGUCGAGCUUCCAGGACAGAAGAGUCAACGUUGACCAACUGCCGGGAAAAGAUCGACCGACGGACGUUUGUCAGAGUCUGAGUCUGUGGAUAAGAAGAAGAGACAACAUGUGGAGUCCCUGUGUUCAACAGUCAUGUUUGCACAGCAAACAGCAAAGAGCAACGACAGCUUACAAAUUAACAACAAGUGACCCCAACAAUGUCUACUGUGACCCACCGUUGGACCUCCACCCUCAGUUUUGGAAUGGCGGCCAGCAAUAGAAGGUCGUGACCAUCUAUGGUCAGUGAACGUGGAUCACCUGAAGUGCAGUGAGCCCCCUGGAGGUCAGGAGUCAUUAAUUCAGGAAAAGAAAACCAAAACAUUUACAGCGUAUCAAUUCUGCGUUGAUCACCUGUUGGUGCUU